CUCACGUCUUUCCACUUGAAAAGGAAUCGCUGAACCAACACCUCCAUAGUGAGGCUUCAACUCGGAGAAAUAUGUUGAAACCCAGCGCUGUGCAGCAACCAUAUUGCAUGGUUUUUGUGCCACAGGACAAAGCAAAGUGCACAGCCCCAUCUGAAUGAGGCAGAAGAGCUAAACUCACAGGAGCAAUUCAGUUCAUUGCUGCCCAGCUAAAUGAAAAUAAUUAAAUUGACUACAAUAAGUAGACAGCUAACUCUGAGGCUGUCUGUUUAUCCCCCACAAAAAAGGGAAACAUUUGCACCAUACAGCACAGACAUUUCUAAACAACAGCAAGACUGAACUUCACUUCUAGUGUUUGCCAUGACUACAACAAAGACUUGCCAAAGCUAGCAAGGAUUUUCAAUAGCUCCAGCUGCUGAAGGAAUGGAGAAGGAAACAGGGAAAGAAGAAAUAAACAGAAGACUUUCCUGCGUGCCCCACAGCCCUCCCACACAAACACAGCUUCUUGGAUGCCUUCCCUAUAACAGGCCCUUAUUUUUCUCUCCAAGAACUAACAUUAGUGCAGGGGCAGUG
rnacentral:lncRNA from 1 species